rnacentral:rRNA from 1 species
GGUGGAUUAGUGGCGAACGGGUGAGUAACACGUGAGUAACCUGCCCUUGACUCUGGAAUAAGCGUUGGAAACGACGUCUAAUACCGGAUACGAGCUUCAGCCGCAUGGCUAGGAGCUGGAAAGAAUUUCGGUCAAGGAUGGACUCGCGGCCUAUCAGGUAGUUGGUGAGGUAAAGGCUCACCAAGCCUACGACGGGUAGCCGGCCUGAGAGGGUGACCGGCCACACUGGAACUGAGACACGGUCCAGACUCCUACGGGAGGCAGCAGUGGGGAAUAUUGCACAAUGGGCGCAAGCCUGAUGCAGCAACGCCGCGUGAGGGACGACGGCCUUCGGGUUGUAAACCUCUUUUAGUAGGGAAGAAGCGAAAGUGACGGUACCUGCAGAAAAAGCACCGGCUAACUACGUGCCAGCAGCCGCGGUAAUACGUAGGGUGCAAGCGUUAUCCGGAAUUAUUGGGCGUAAAGAGCUCGUAGGCGGUUUGUCGCGUCUGCUGUGAAAACUGGAGGCUCAACCUCCAGCUUGCAGUGGGUACGGGCAGACUAGAGUGCGGUAGGGGAGAUUGGAAUUCCUGGUGUAGCGGUGGAAUGCGCAGAUAUCA